rnacentral:tRNA from 1 species
GCCUGGAUGGCUUAGUAGGUUGAGUGUCUGACUUUGGCUCAGGUCUUGAUCUCACGGUUUGUGGGUUUGAGCCCCGCGUCGGGCU